rnacentral:rRNA from 1 species
CCUUUUUUUUACAAAACAUGUCUUAAUGAAUUAAAUAUUAAGUCUGGCCUGCUCAAUGAUUAAUAUAAUUAAAUAGCCGCAGUAUUUUGACUGUGCGAAGGUAGCAUAAUCAUUUGUCUUUUAAUUGGAGGCUUGUAUGAAUGGUUUAAUGAGGGGAUAACUUUCUUUGUAUUAAAUCUUGAAUUUAAUAUUUUAGUUAAAAAGCUUAAAUAUUUAAAUGGGACGAGAAGACCCUAUAGAAUUUAAUUUUAAUUUUUAAAUCCUAAAUUUUUAGUUUAUAUUUUAUUUUUAGUUAUUAAAAUUUUGUUGGGGUGACAUUGAGAUUUUUAAAACUCUCAUAAACAGGACUUUAUUUAUAUAUAUAUAUAUGAUCCUAUUUUAUGGAUUUAUUAGAUUAAAUUACCUUAGGGAUAACAGCGUAAUUUUUCUUAAGAGUUCUUAUCGAUGGAGAAGUUUGCGACCUCGAUGUUGGAUUAAAAUUAGAUUUAAGUGCAGAAGCUUAAUUUCUAGGUCUGUUCGACCUUUAAAAUUUUACAUGACGAUUUUUU